GUUUCUUCAGGCUCCUCGCACUUCUCACUGGGUUUCGUCCUCGGGUUUGUCGGAUUUUUUUUCGGUUUCGGGUUAUCCCGAACCCGAUUCUUCCCAAUCGGGUUCGGGUUCGCAUAUUAAAUAUCCACCCGUAAAACUCGAUCGGGUACCCGAUUGAGAGAAGGGGAAAAAGGGGUACGGGUUAUAUCCAAGCCAGAAAACCCUUGCUGCUGCUCUCCUGCUCCCGUUUCUUUCCUUACUACUGUCUACUGCCAUUGUUGCUGCCGUUGCUACUGUUGUCGCCGACCAGACAUCGCGCCGGCAACCAGUCGCUGCGGCCGCGCCACCCACCGGACUCCGACGACGACGAGCUCUCCUUCAUCGCCGACAAAAGUCGCUAUUUUUGCGAAUUUUCAGCAUUGUGCCUGAGUUGACAAAGUUAGGGGUUGAUUCAACAAUUAUUGACAUUUAAUUGUGCUAACUGCUACUUGUAAAUUUUUGACAAGGUCGAGGACUCGAGGUCGAGGAAGAAAAUGUGAUAUGAGCUUUUUCAGUCUAUAGGCAUUAGGAUUUCGGAGGCCUUCUGAUAAUUUAUGGAUGUGAUUGAACUUUUUUUUUUGGAUAUUUAUGUAAAGCUUUAAGUAUUUAUGUCCAUAAAUUAUAUUUUAGACUUACAUGGAUAUAUUUUAGUGAAUUACUUUCAUU